UACGGAGGGGGCUAGCGUUGUUCGGAAUUACUGGACGUAAAGCGCACGUAGGCGGCUUUGCAAGUUAGAGGUGAAAGCCCGGGGCUCAACUCCGGAAUUGCCUUUAAAACUGCAUCGCUAGAAUUGUGGAGAGGUAAGUGGAAUUCCGAGUGUAGAGGUGAAAUUCGUAGAUAUUCGGAAGAACACCAGUGGCGAAGGCGACUUACUGGACACAUAUUGACGCUGAGGUGCGAAAGCGUGGGGAGCAAACAGG
rnacentral:rRNA from 1 species